UCAGACCCCUCACUUUUAAAGGAUAAAAGACAAUCCAU
rnacentral:tRNA from 1 species